UACGUAGGUGGCAAGCGUUGUCCGGAUUUACUGGGCGUAAAGAGCGCGCAGGCGGUUGGAUAAGUCGAAUGUGAAAGCCCCCGGCUCAACUGGGGAGGGUCAUUCGAUACUGUCCGACUCGAAGGCAGGAGAGGGAAGCGGAAUUCCCGGUGUAGUGGUGAAAUGCGUAGAUAUCGGGAGGAACACCAGUGGCGAAGGCGCUUUCUGGCCUGUUCUUGACGCUGAGGCGCGAAAGCCAGGGGAGCAAACGGG
rnacentral:rRNA from 1 species